rnacentral:rRNA from 1 species
AUUGAACGCUGGCGGCAGGCUUAACACAUGCAAGUCGAGCGGAGAUGAGGUGCUUGCACCUUAUCUUAGCGGCGGACGGGUGAGUAAUGCUUAGGAAUCUGCCUAUUAGUGGGGGACAACAUUCCGAAAGGAAUGCUAAUACCGCAUACGUCCUACGGGAGAAAGCAGGGGAUCUUCGGACCUCGCGCUAAUAGAUGAGCCUAAGUCGGAGUAGCUAGUUGGUGGGGUAAAGGCCUACCAAGGCGACGAUCUGUAGCGGGUCUGAGAGGAUGAUCCGCCACACUGGGACUGAGACACGGCCCAGACUCCUACGGGAGGCAGCAGUGGGGAAUAUUGGACAAUGGGGGAAACCCUGAUCCAGCCAUGCCGCGUGUGUGAAGAAGGCCUUAUGGUUGUAAAGCACUUUAAGCGAGGAGGAGGCUACUGAGACUAAUACUCUUGGAUAGUGGACGUUACUCGCAGAAUAAGCACCGGCUAACUCUGUGCCAGCCGCCGCAGUAACAC